rnacentral:rRNA from 1 species
AAUUAAUAAAAUUGUUAUAAUAUAUAUAUAUAUAAUAAAUUUAGAUUAAAUAAAUUUUAGUUAUUGUAAGAUAAAUAGAUAUAAUAAUUUUUACUAUAAUGAAUUAGUACUGUAAAGGAAUUUAUAAUGAUUAAUUUAAUAUUAAUUAAAGUUAAUUUUAUUAAUUGUAUCUUGUGUAUCAGAGUAUAUUUAAAUUAAUUAUUUAUUUUUGUUUUUCUCGAAUUUAAAAGAUUUAAUUAGGUAAUUUAGUUAUUGUUUCAUAAAUAUUAAUAAUUCUUAAUUGGUAAUGAGAUGUUAAUCGUUUUUAAGGAUAUCUAGUUUUUUAAUAAAUGAAUUUAAUUCAGGAUACGUUAAUUAUUUAAUAUUUACUUAUUGUAAUAUUUUAUGUUUCUAAUUUUUAAAGGGAUUAACUUUUAGAAAUAAAUAUUAUAAUAUUUAUUUCUGUUUUGAAUUACAUGAAUUUAGAAUUUGUUAUUGAUUAAAGUAUGUUAAAAUUUAAUUCUAUUUUUAUGAAAUUUUAAAUUUUUAUUUAAUUUUUUUAUUAAAAUUUAAAAUUUAAUCUUUUAUUUUAAGAUCUAAUGAUAUUAUUAGUAAAUUUAAAUUUAUAAUGUAAAUAUAUUUUUAAUGUUGAUAUAAAGAAUUAGGCAAAAAUUUUACUCACCUGUUUAUUAAAAACAUGGUUUCUUGUAUUUAUUUUAAGAGAUCUAACCUGCCCACUGAAUUUUGAAGGGCCGCAGUAUUUUGACUGUGCAAAGGUAGCAUAAUCAUUAGUCUUUUAAUUGAAGGCUGGUAUGAAUGGUUGGAUGAGGUAAAUUCUGUUUUAUAUUAAUUUUAAUUGAAUUUAGAGUUUAAGUAAAAAUACUUAAAUUAUAUUAAGGGACGAGAAGACCCUAUAGAGUUUAAUAAAUUAAGUAUUUAAUUAAGUUAAAUAAAAAUUUUUGAUUAUUAUGGUUUUUAUUUAAUUGGGGUGAUUAGAAGAUAAAUUUAACUCUUUUUUGUUUUUAAUUUUUUAUUUAGUUUUUUGAUCCAUAUUUAAUGAUUAUAAGAUUAAAUUACCUUAGGGAUAACAGCAUAAUUUCUUUUGAGAGUUCAUAUCGAAAAAGAAGAUUGUGACCUCGAUGUUGGAUUAAGAUUAGUUGAGGUGUAGGUGUUGAUAAACUGGGUCUGUUCGACCUUUAAAAUCUUACAUGAUCUGAGUUUAAACCGGCGUAAGCCAGGUUGGUUUCUAUCUUUAAUUUUAUUUAAUAUUUUAGUACGAGAGGACCAAAUAUUUAAAAUAAUUUUUAUUUAAUGAAUUUUAUUAAUAU